CUUGUUGAUCAUUUGUUGCUCCGGUAGCCCACCAGAAGGUCAGAGAGAUUGUCAGCGAGACCUGCUCCACCCAAGCCUGAGGCCAAGCCUAAGAAAACUGUCGUCAAGAAGGUGGUAGAUGAUAAGGGGGCAAAGGCAAAGAAAGGUGGCGCCAAGGGGAAGAAGGAAGACGGUCCUGCCCAGAAUGGAGACACCAAGGCCAAUGAGGUAACUGAAGCAGCAGAAGAGGCGACCGAGGAGAAGGCGUAAAGGCACGGGCGCGUCCAUCGACUCGCCCCCUCUGACUCCAUGGCAGCAAAGCAUCUUUUUUUACUGACGAUUUUGUACCAUGCUGAAUUUUUUUUAGACUUGUGAUAGUAGAGAUGGACAACCAGCAGCCCCACCUCCCGUAUCUUCGCACUCCUUCCCCCACCUCCUGUUUUUGCUCCAUUCUCCCCCCAGCAUUCUGUAUUGCUAUACUGUAUGCCUCUUAGAAGCAGAAAGGCAGAAUGAAGUGGUUUUUAUCACACAGCUGUAGAUGUUCUUUGUUUUGCCCGAGAGGAGCUGUAAACAAGACUUUUUUUAAAUCUAUAAACCGGCUCUACCUUCGUUCGUAGUUAUGCUUCUCUAUAAUACAUCACUUACUGGCACUUUGCCUGCAAUCACACCAUGAUGUAACCCCCUUACGGCUAAGGUGAGCACAUCAACAGUUUGGUUGCAGAGCCACAAGAAACCAGUUCCACAGUCACCAUGGAGAACAUCUGCAGCUUUUUAAAAAUCUUACUUUUUAGUCACCACCACUGUGUUUCACAUAGCUCCUUUUGUAUGUGUAUACUGGAGUGAAUGUGUUUGUGAGUCUCUGUGCUUGACUUUGUUUCCUCCCCCUUUCCUUUCCUUUGUUUCUUUCUUUUUCUCUCUCCCCUGAACGCCUUGUCCUGCAGCAGAGUGACAUAGCAAUAAUGAGUGGUGCUUCUGUUCUAGACGGCUCUAUUGGCUUUGGACCCUCUGGGCUUCUCUGAGUUUCAUCCUGUUGGGAGAAUAUUUUGAAAUAAAAGAAAAAGUUGAUGUCU